UCUCUCUUUUUGUUUCUCUUUGUUUAUAGUACUCGAUCCAGCUUUCAGGCCAUGCGCAAAUGCUCUGCUCCCAGCCAACUUGAAUUCAUUUCAAGGAAGAUUGCACAAGAAUUCAGCUCUGCUGCUCCGAGCCAGGCCUGCUGGGCUGGCUGUUUUGUUCUCUCGGGCCCCAGUCCUGCCGAAGGACCUGCUGGCACAAACCCCUGGAGCAUCCCUAUUUUGAAGUAAUUUGCAGUGACUUAAAAACCCUUGAGAAAGCCCCGUCUUUCUCAGAGGUGGGAUUCUUCCCAGCUAACCACAGAAGCCUGAAAGUUGCAUGCACGAUGCAAGCUAAUCAUUCCGGCUCUUCUGAUGGGGUACGAAGAGGAGGAGGCAUCUCACAAAGCGUGACUCAGGAGGAACAAGGUUCCUGGAUGCUGGUGAGAAACAGGUUGCUAUCUGAUAUAUUGCCCAAAAUUCACAGAAGGAAUCAUUGGCACUGCUGAUUUCAGGUAUCUUUUAUUAAUGCUGAAAAGAAAAUUUAAGCAUUUCCCUUGCACAAUAUGGAACAUUCUUCUGAUAGUCUGUGUAAUCUGUAACCAGUGUUCAUUCGUGCUGUCUCUGCAGCUAUUUCCAUGCUUUGUCAUUUCCAUCAUAAUAUUUAGAGAAUUAGGUGUUGUGUAUUUUACUUGCAAGGUCAUCUAGGGCAGUUCUGGUUUGAAAUAUUUGUACUGCAUUCACUUAUUUGCCUGUGAGCUUUCUCCAAACAUGUGAUAGUUUCUGUUGGCUGCUCUUUUUGUUUUUUUAAUUCCUUUUUGGGAAGGGAAGUGGAAGAGCUGGAAGGAGAGGGAGAAGGUCCAUCAUGUGUGGUUAUAGAGACAUGUGUCACUGACAGCAGACAGUGACCAGAUCAACCUUUCCAUCUGCAUGUUUGUGCUCUGAGCCACAGCCUGCAUGCACCCUCCAUCUCCACAAACACCAAAGCACAGGGGAUUCUCAGUGGCCACAUCAUAGGAUGGGUCCUCAUUUCCUUUUGGAGACCAGCCUUAAGAGAAUAUCAGUAAAUUGAUGAACUUAGCGGCACAUCAGUACACGGAGCUAACAAGAACCUGACAAAUGAUAAAACACACAAACAUAACCACAUCUGAGUGUCUUUCACACAGUGCAUGAUCAACUGAACGUCCAGAGCAUAAGCUUGUGAACAAGCUUAUGAGGGACCAAGCUUAUGAGAAAGGAAAUAUCUUACAGGAAGUUGGAUUACAGAUAGGAUUUAAAUGGGAUUGCUGAGGACUGCUGGAGUUACUUCUUUGCAUCUUGACUUUAACUGAGAUGGAGUUUCCUUUUCCUGCGUUGAGCGCUAGGCUUUGUGGGCAGCCGGGGAAACGGCCAGCGCAGGUUAAUGUAAUGAGGUGUGGAAGUCUGAAGUGGCGAAUGGAAAGUCCUGGGAAGAGAGGAAGACUAGAGGGGGAGAGACUGAUAAGCAGAGAGGGCCACGAAACUGCAUGACAUGAAAGCUUGGAGGACUUUAAGGGGAGGGCUAACAUGGAUGGGAAGGUGGUAGAGCUGCAUUUCAAGGCACCUGAGGGGAAGGCAGGGAACUGCACACCUUGGAGAUGUCACAGUCAAGAGAAGCAUUUGGGGUACCAGCAAGCAAAGAUUAGAGAGUAGGUUACUGCAAAAGGUAAAAGAGGAGGAAGAGUGAGUUUGAGGCUGUUUCUUCAGAGCUUUGGUGCCAGGCUGUAAGAAGAAACCCCAUAGCAACAGGUUUCCAAAGGGUUGCAGUGAGAUGCCAGUUCCGUUGGUGGGACAACAUCAAGUAGGCUGCAGGCAAAUAACGUCACCCCAUUGUAUUAUGCUGACUUGAUUCAUGCUGUUUAAUGUCUUCCUGUCCCCUUUUUUCUAGUCAAAGCCAUUUCAUUAGCUAAAGUUACAAUUGAUGUGUUUGGUUCAGUUGUCCUCCUUGAGGAAUGCACUCCGGCCUUUGAGACAUUCAGCUGCAGGCUGUGAGUUGAAUCCCCAAGCUUAUCCAGUCCUGCAAAUUGUAGGAGGUGGGGCUGGAAGGAUCAUGGGCAGGCCACCUACUCCUCCCUGAGCCCCAGGCACGAUCAACUGACUAAUGCUUCUUCCAGGCUGUUCUUAAAAACCUCUAAUACUGGAUACUCUGCAACUUCCUAGGCAACCCAUUCCAGUGCUUCCCUGUUCUCACUCUUAAAAAGGUUUUUGGUGUAAUUCUUAGUGUAAUUCCUUUUCUCUAAUUUAAGCCUAUCACUCUUGUGCCCCAAAUAGACUUGGAAAUGAGAUUACUCUCUUCUUGCUUUGUAUAUUAGAUGACCACUACCAUGUCUUUGCUGCCCAAAACUUCUUUGAUCCAGAUGACCUUAUCAAUACAGUUUUGCAGUUUUAGACUAUGCACCCUUUCCCACUUGACACCUUUUCUGCACUUCUGGCCAUUCCUAUUGCUCUUCUUUGCACUUUCUCCAGUAAGUCUGCAGUCUACCUGAAGUGUAGUGGCCCAGACUGUACGUGUAACACUUCAAAUGAAGUCUUCGCAGCAUAGAGAACAGGGGAAGAAUUAUUUCCUGUUUGUCACAGACAGUACUUCUGUUUAUACACCUCAUUAUAGUACUUUCAUUUCUCACUGCUGCGCAACUGUGUUCAUUCAUGUUGAGCUGUCAUCCCUAGAUCUUUUUCUGCAGAACUUCUGCUGUGCUGAUUGUUUCCCAGCUCAUCUUUUAGUACUUGAUUACGCCUACCUAAAUGCAGAGCUCCGCUUUGUCCCUACUGAAUGGCACUUCUUUUCCCGUACGUUUCUCCAAUUUGUCAAGAUUGUUUUGCAUUCUCAUCCUGUUCUCCAAAGUGCUUGUUCUUCAUGGUGUUCUGUGCUAAUUUAGUAAGUGUUCCCUACUCUUAGUUCUUCAAAGAUAUUAAUGAAAAUACUGAACACUGCCAGACACAAAACAGAUGGCUUCAGAACUUCAUUUGAUACAUACUGCUGGUUUGACAGUGAAGCGUUUAUAACUGCUCUUAGUCUGGUUUUCCAACCAGCCAUACACCCCUCUAAUAACGGUUUCUUCUAAACCAUGUUUCUUUACCUUGUUUAUGAAAGUGUCAGGUGAGACAAUGGCAAAAGCUGCAUUAAAAUCAAGAUAGAAGACCUACUAUAGAAGGAAAUUAGAUUGAUUUGAUGUGAUUUGUUCUUGUCAAAUCAGUGCUCGCUGUUCCUCGUCUCUUUGUUAUCUUCUAGGUGCUGGAAAAUAGUUUAUCUAAUUACUACUUCCAGUAUUUUUCCAGGAAUUGAAAUUAGGCUGCCUGGUCUCCGAUUCUCGGCUCUUCCUGUUCCCUCCUCCCCCCUUUAAAGGUAGGUGUAAGUUUGCCUUUCCCAGUCUGCAAGAAACACAACCCCCUGCCUCUGAGCUCUGUGCUGAUGAUGGCUUCGAGGAGCUUCAGCUAAUUUUCCCAGAAGGGUAAAAUGAUUUUUAUCAGGCCUCGCCAGUUUGAAAAUACCUGACUUAUUUAGGCACUCUCUGACAUGCUCUUUGUAUUCUUACCCUUUGACUGUUUGUGCUAGUUGUGCUAAACAUAUCAUAAAAGGGGCACCUUUGAGUAAAGACUGAAGGAGAAAAGUAUCAAACGCUUCUGCACAUUUGGCAUCAUCACUCAGUAACUCCUCAGAGAGGCCCUGCUCUUUCUUUGUCCCUCCUAAUAAACACACUGACGCCCACUGCAUGUUGCAUCACUUAAAACUUUUUCAUUUUGCUCCUCCAUGUUUAUACUAUUCUUUUAUACUUAGUAACAUGACCCAGUUCCACUUUCUGUGUGCUUCCUCUGCCCUUCUACAGCUAAUGGAGAGCUCAUGAUCUAUCCAGUUCAUCUCUUACUAGCCUUCUUCAGUGCUUGUGCUAAGUAGUAGCACUGAGGAGUUCACAAGUAGUUCUUUAGCACUUCUUUUGUGCUUGGGCCCUCCGUACAACUUCCUUAGAGUGCUGUCAACUUUCCAAAAGUCCUUUCUGCCUUGAAUUUGUUGCCCUGGGAUCUUGUGUACUGACACCCUGAGUUAGCUCAAGUCUGUCUCCUUGAAGUCCGCUGUUUUGUCUUUGCUUUUUUUCCCUGCCUCCUUUCCUAGAAGUCAUGAAUGUUACCACUUCAAGAUCACUCUCACCCCAGUAGCCUUUCACCUUUACCUCCAGAAUUGAGUUUUGCAGAGCAUCUAGUCAGGAAGACGUUAAAGAGAUGGAUGAUAUCUGAAGUCAGUUCA